rnacentral:rRNA from 1 species
UGCGUAGGCGGCGUCGUAAGUCAGAAGUGAAAGGCUUCCGCUCAACGGGAGAAUUGCUUUUGAUACUGCGGUGCUUGAAUCAGGUUGAGGUCGGCGGAAUGUGGCAUGUAGCGGUGAAAUGCAUAGAUAUGCCAUAGAACACCAAUUGCGAAGGCAGCUGACUGGACCUGUAUUGACGCUGAGGCACGAAAGCGUGGGAGCGAACA